UAGUGUUCUGUUUUGAACUUUUUUUUGUUAUCUAAAUAAAUAUUGUUGAAAUCUUAGUUACUGUUGUGGAUAGUGGAAGGAGUGCUCUGAAAUUUCUGGGUUUGGAUGGGGAAGAAAACUCUGCAGUCGGCAUGGGUGGUUUGAAGUUGAAUAUGAUAACCACUGAUUAUGCCUGGGAUGACUGGAUAUGAGYUGCUCAAGAAAAUCAAGGAAUCUUCGACCUUCAAAAAGRUACCUAUGGUGAUUAUGUCAUCCAAAAAUAUCUUGUCUCGGAUUGACAGGUAGCUGAGGAGUCUAAAAUUUCAGAGAUGGAUCAAGCUUCAACCGGAGAAGCUGAAAUACUUGGAGUUUCUGUAGAGACGCUGAAAGACUUAGAGCUUCUGUAGAGACAGUGAAAGGGAGAGCUUGUUCAAUUUAAAAAUGAACAUGCAUUCAGAGAUGCACUACAUUAUUUGAGAAUUUGA